rnacentral:rRNA from 1 species
UACAGAGGGGGCAAGCGUUGUUCGGAAUUACUGGGCGUAAAGGGCGCGUAGGUGGCCUUCUAAGUUGAACGUGAAAUCCCUGGGCUCAACCCAGGAACUGCGUCCAAGACUGGGAGGCUUGAAUCCGGGAGAGGGAUGCGGAAUUCCAGGUGUAGCGGUGAAAUGUGUUGAUAUUGGAAGGAACACCGGAGGCGAAAGCGGUGUACUGGGGCUGGUCUGACGCUGAGGCACGAAAGCCAGGGGAGCGAACGGG